rnacentral:lncRNA from 1 species
UUUUUUUUUUUUUUUUUGCCCCGGGGCUCAAUGGAUGGAUUGUGGAAAACUGCACCGGGUUGCAGGUUGUUGAGCAACUGAUGGGACCAUCUCAGGGACCAGCGGUUACGAAAGAUGCUGAUUUGAAGAACUGCCCUGAAAACUGGUGAGUGGCUUGUACAGUGCCCAGUAAGGUGGUGGCAUCUUGGACACUGUGUCUCCCUCUCUCUGAUCCUCAGCUUUUUCAAUCUGAAGCAAUGUGGCUUUGCUCUUCCCUUUGGUUUCCUUUGACAGACCUGUCAAGGGCAGUGGAAGAAAAAUCAGAUAGGCAUGCGGAUCGGUGCUAUUACACACGUAAGGGGUUGAGCCUCUGCUGGACCUUUGAGUGUUACCUAGCAAAUCCUUCCUGUCUCCCUGUCUGCCCCCCUUCUCAUCUAUCGUGUGCUUUGCAUUUGCAUGUGCUGUCCCCUUCCUGAAAUACUUUAUAAAGGUUUUAAAAGGUUUCUUUAUAGAUCAAGUCUAGUCAUACAUUCAGGACUGCUACCUCAGUUUAC